rnacentral:rRNA from 1 species
UACGAAGGGUGCAAGCGUUAAUCGGAAUUACUGGGCGUAAAGCGUGCGUAGGCGGUUGCUUAAAGUCAGAUGUGAAAGCCCCUGGGCUCAACCUGGGAAUGGCAUUUGAAACUGGGCAGCUAGAGUGUGAUAGAGGAUGGCGGAAUUCCCGGUGUAGCGGUGAAAUGCGUAGAGAUCGGGAGGAACAUCCGUGGCGAAGGCGGCCAUCUGGAUCAACACUGGACCGCUGAGGCACGAAAGCGUGGGAAGGCCAAACAGGG